CGCAAUUAUAAAGAUCCGGAAAAUACACCAUGCACUACGCUCCGCACAGUACACAUCGAAGAACCCGGAUAAUCAUUGUCUUUUCGGCGCUUGAAGCGAGAGCACGAUUUUAUCGAUUACCUCGUCACAAGGAUUUGUUGACCGACCCAGAGGAUGGAACAUCACAUCCACUAUCCAAAAGUAUGGACUUGGUCGCAGUGCAGCUAUCAGCCGACAUUUGCUUGUGCAAGGAGUUCCUUCAGGAGCAGUCUCAGUUAUCCUUAACUCAUGGAAAUCAGGAACAGAAAAACAGUAUAGUUUGUCAUGGCGUAAGUGGUGUAUUUGGAAUCAAGAACGAGGUAAAAAUCCCAUUAAAACCUCUGAGACGCAGGUAAUAGCUUAUUUAUUUUACCUGUUAAAAAACAAUAAGUCUUAUUCAGUGCUGAACACACAUAAAGCAAUGCUUUUGCAGACUUUAAAUAUUUUAGGCAAUAAAUGGUGUGAAUCUCCAACAUUAAUUAGUAGGUUUAUGAGAGGUGUAGCUAUUAUGAAACCUGUGGUUCCAAGGUACAAAUUUACAUGGGACGUGUCUUGUGUUUUGCAACUAUUAAAGUCGCUUAUGCCUUUGAAACAGUUAUCUUUGAAAACAUUAACGCUAAAGUUAGUUGGUUUGGUGGCUUUGGCUGCUGCCCCUCGUGCACAAACUAUUGUGUCCUUGAAUAUUGAUUGUGUUAAAAUUGAUUAUACUACUUGUGAAGCGGUGUUUUAUUUCAAAAA